rnacentral:rRNA from 1 species
GUAAAGAGCUCGUAGGCGGUUUGUCGCGUCUGCCGUGAAAGUCCGGGGCUUAACUCCGGAUCUGCGGUGGGUACGGGCAGACUUGAGUGAUGUAGGGGAGACUGGAAUUCCUGGUGUAGCGGUGAAAUGCGCAGAUAUCAGGAGGAACACCGAUGGCGAAGGCAGGUCUCUGGGCAUUAACUGACGCUGAGGAGCGAAAGCAUGGGGAGCGAACAGGAUUAGAUACCCUGGUAGUCCAUGCCGUAAACGUUGGGCACUAGGUGUGGGGGACAUUCCACGUUUUCCGCGCCGUAGCUAACGCAUUAAGUGCCCCGCCUGGGGAGUACGGCCGCAAGGCUAAAACUCAAAGGAAUUGACGGGGGCCCGCACAAGCGGCGGAGCAUGCGGAUUAAUUCGAUGCAACGCGAAGAACCUUACCAAGGCUUGACAUGAACCGGAACGGCGCAGAGAUGUGUCGGCCACUUGUGGCCGGUUUACAGGUGGUGCAUGGUUGUCGUCAGCUCGUGUCGUGAGAUGUUGGGUUAAGUCCCGCAACGAGCGCAACCCUCGUUCCAUGUUUCCAGCGGGUUAUGCCGGGGACUCAUGGGAGACUGCCGGGGUCAACUCGGAGGAAGGUGGGGACGACGUCAAAUCAUCAUGCCCCUUAUGUCUUGGGCUUCACGCAUGCUACAAUGGCCGGUACAAAGGGUUGCGAUGCUGUGAGGUGGAGCUAAUCCCAAAAAGCCGGUCUCAGUUCGGAUUGAGGUCUGCAACUCGACCUCAUGAAGUCGGAGUCGUUAGUAAUCGCAGAUCAGCAACGCUGCGGUGAAUACGUUCCCGGGCCUUGUACACACCGCCCGUCAAGUCACGAAAGUUGGUAACACCCGAAGCCGGUGGCCUAACCCCUUGUGGGAGGGAGCCUCGAAGGGGC